UAAUACGUAGGGGGCAAGCGUUGUUCGGAAUUACUGGGCGUAAAGGGCGCGUAGGCGGCUCGGUAAGUCGGGAGUGAAAGCCCGGGGCUCAACCCCGGAACGGCUCUCGAAACUGCCGCGGCUCGAGUGCGGAAGAGGCAACCGGAAUUCCCAGUGUAGCGGUGAAAUGCGUAGAUAUUGGGAAGAACACCUGAGGCGAAGGCGGGUUGCUGGGCCGACACUGACGCUGAGGCGCGAAAGCCAGGGGAGCAAACGGGAUUAGAUACCCCGGUAGUCCUGGCCCUAAACGAUGGAUACUUGGUGUGUGGGGUUCUCUAAGUCCCCGCGUGCCGGAGUCAACGCGGUAAGUAUCCCGCCUGGGGAGUACGGUCGCAAGGCUG
rnacentral:rRNA from 1 species